AUGUAUUUUAAUUAUUAUUUUAAUGAUUACAUCUAUCGAAGGUUGCAUUAAAAAUUUACAAAUAUUUUAUUUGCGAGAAUCUUGCAAGUCAUCAAACAUUUGUUAGUAUAAAUUUGCAAUUUUGUUCCUAAUUUAAAAGACUUUAACAACACUUUCAACAGUUACAAAAUAUAUUUGCAUGUUGCCACCUAUUUAAAAACACUAAUUCAGCUUAUUUAACUAAUUCUUAAACCUUGUACAAUCCCUUGCUUUCAUAUGAGUGAACUGGCCAAAAGCGUUGGCUUUCACCAUCAUUCCAAAUUCUCAUAAGGAACAGCAACCCAGCAGCAUAUUGGGAAAGAGUGUGAGGAUGGAACGUGGAAAAUAUAAAAUUUGUUCGAGACUGCAACAUGGAAACAGAAGACUUGUCACAUGGUUGCGCUGAAAGAUAUUUUUUCCAAAACUUGUAACACUAGAAGAAAAUUGUUUUAAUAUAAUUAUAAUAAUAUAUCUUUUAUUGUUUGUU